GCCUGGGUGGCUCGGUCGGUGGAGCGUCCGACUUAGACUCAGGUCAUGAUCUCGCGGUUCAUGGGUUCAAGCCCCAUGUCGGGCU
rfam:Felis catus isolate Cinnamon breed Abyssinian chromosome A1, whole genome shotgun sequence.